rnacentral:rRNA from 1 species
UACAGAGGGGGCAAGCGUUAUUCGGAAUUAUUGGGCGUAAAGGGCGCGUAGGCGGCCUUGCAAGUGACGGGUGAAAUCCCUCGGCUUAACCGAGGAACUGCCUGUCAAACUGCGUGGCUUGAGACCAGGAGAGGUGAGUGGAAUUCCCAGUGUAGCGGUGAAAUGCGUAGAUAUUGGGAGGAACACCAGUGGCGAAGGCGGCUCACUGGACUGGUACUGACGCUGAGGCGCGAAAGCCAGGGGAGCAAACGGG